AAGCUCUGAGCCCUCCUCGGUGGCAGGGCUGGGGAAGAGGAAGAGCCAGGCCCCAUACCCAAAGCACUGCCAGGUCACGCUGCCGCCGUGCCGCACCCAGAAGCGGCUGCACCUCAACUGCCCGAGGAACCUGAAGGUAAACAUUCUCCAGCCCACAGAGAGCUGUGAACGUGAGGAGGUCUACAAUGCCAAUGUUGCUGACAGAAAUGUCAACGAUGAAGCCCCUCGGAGUGCUCCUGAUCUGUAGGUACUUCCAGAUUUCAAAGCUGAAGGAGACGAACUACAGUGGACUCAAGCUCAACAAAUUGUGCCCAAAUGUGAUCUUGCAGGAGGAUUAUUCAGUGUAAUUCAUCUGACCUAAAUACAGUUACUCCUGAAGUGACAGAACGAGGACAAAAUUUAUAUAAGCGAGAGAUGGGAGAAGGAGGUGGAGGUGGGGCUUUACCACGAAAGGCUUCCAACAGAAGCACAGAAUUACUCACCAUAAUUGUGCCUGUGCACCUACGAAGUACUUACUUGAGUCGCCUGAAGGGCAACAUCCACGUGAAUCUGUGCUCACAGCCGCUUUCAUGUUGGUGCUUCACAACUGCAGCAAUGCAGGGAAGUGCAAGUGCGUUUACCAUAAUGGGUCAGUGUGUACUAUCUUUGCUUGUGUGCCUGAUAAAAAGACUGCGAGCUCCUGAGAUCCCUUCCCCACUACUCCCCCAGUUUAAUUCAUCCCAAGAGAAGAGAGCUGUCAGAAAGAAAAAAAAUCCAGGUCUUCUCGUUCUGUUUCAAAGGAUUCUGUUUGCUACCUUUCAGUGCUGGAUUUUCCUCCUUAACUUUGUU